AGUCAAUAUUUAGGGUGUUUCCUGUUUCUACCAAUGUUGUAGCUGACGAAGAAAAGAGGCACAUUUCCUCUUGUUGACUGGCAAGCUGCAUCUAACUUUUAGAAGUCCUUGUAGUACUACCCGUUAAAUUAAUGGUUGCAUCAUACUCAACAUCUCAAUGGAAUGUUCUAUUAUAAUUCCUUUUUCUUCAUGAAUUUAUUGCAUCUGCUAUGGUAGGUCUUAUGGAGAGUGGGAGACUAGGAAGCUCACCUUAUACUGAGAGUUGGACAUGCUUACGGGUUUGUCUCAUUCCAAGGAGGUCCAGUUGAUCUCACGCUGGAGAUUGCACUCGAGAAUCAAUAACCCAAAACUGUACAGUUCGUGUACAUAAGAGUAGGCAGCUGAGUUCAGAAUGGUAGUUGGAAGUUGGAAUGCAGACCAAACUGACCAGUGGCUGAGAAUCACAGGUGAUCCAUGGAACGGCAGUAGCUCUUUCUCCUGCCGACAUGGAUCCACAUGGGCCUGGAGGACCAGGUUGGGGAGGCCCUGGAGGCCCCGGAGG